UAUUGACGUUUCGGAAAACUCUUUCGACUAUCAUAAUAAUAAUAACAAUUGAUAAUUUCACCGUUAAAUUCUCCCGUGAGAUCUCUUAGGACGUUGAAUUUUAAAACGCGUUGUCCGCUUCGCUCUAAAAAAAAUUAAUAAAACGUCAAAUAACAAAUUAAACUUUUGCGGACGCGUUGAACGCAAAAGUUAUUGUUUCGAAAAUCAUAAUCGUUAUGGAAUGUUCGAUGUGGGAAAAAAUAG